rnacentral:misc_RNA from 1 species
AAAUUCUCAAAGUCAAUCUUUUGUUAAUUCAAUUGGUUGUACUUUGGACUUGGAGGUCUUUGCAGAUUAAUAAUCUGCUCCUCUUAAAUUUAUUAGCUGGAUCUCAGUAUAUGCUUGGUUCCACUCGGCGUGAUAAGUUAUCACUCGCUGAGGACACUGUAAAAAGUGGCCAGGAAAUACAGAUGAACCGCUUCUAAUAGUCUAUUAAAUUAGACAAUUAAUUUAAG